GGGCACAGGGCGAGGUCACGUAAGAGCAUGAUGGCACCUCUGGGGGGCCCUGAGGAACGUUGUGUGCUGGGUGACCUUCCUGUAAGCAGGGCUCAGGUCUUUGCUACUGUUGGUUUUGGCCUUUGGCCGUCUUGCUCCUUUGGCUGCCCGGAGAGCGUGGCAACCCUGUAAGGAGGGUGAGAGCCAGCGUUUCCGCACCCUAGGGGGAAAUAGAGCUCUCUUGGACCCCCAGGCCACCCUGUAAGCAGGGGAGGGCCAUUUCCCUGCCCCUCUCCUCUGCCCCAGCAGCUCUCUGCCUGCUGGUGGCCUACCCAGCCUGACCCCCUGUUGUCAGGGCGUGUCACAGCAUUUGGCCUUUGGCCUGUUGAAGCUCUCUGGCUUCCAUGCAGCCCUGGGCAUGGUCUGAGGCUCUCCUCUCUUGCUUGGUGAGUAGGGUGACUCCCCGGACAGUGGCUGCACAGAGACCGUCUCCCUUUUUGGGACGUUUUGUUUUGUGUUUGUCUUGUCCUUGUCUAUCAAUGUGAGGGAGUGAGUGAGCUUGUCCUUUAGGCGCCUGUUAAAAUUGCUGCAGCUUAGCUUAAGCCUCCCUGGAAGGAGAGCAGGUCUCUGUGCAGUAACAGGGGGGUCUUCCCUAAGUCCACGAGCGGAGGGAUGGUCUGGACUCGCCCCUUCUUUCCAAAGACGGCGCCAAGCCACUUAGUCGUGGUGCAGGCAAUGCGACCUGCCUGUAGUCAGGAUCUGGGUCUCUGCCUGCAUGGCUGCCUGUGCUGCUGGUGACCUGGCAGUGUGACCCCCUGUUGUCAGGGCGUGUCACAGUAUUUUCCCCUUUGUGCCUGGAAGCCGGAGAGCUUCAAUACGCCGUCACCCUAAUGAGAACAAACCAGACCUUGUCAAGCCCCAGUCCCUUCCCUCUGUACCACUGACCUGGAGCCUAGUGAGAAUGCACGUACAGUUUAGAGUGAGCUACUGCGUGGGGCAUGGAAGGGCUAAAGGCAUGAAGUGGUAAGGCAUGAAGUGGUAAUGGAAGGGCUAAAGGCAUGAAGUGGUAAUGGAAGGGCUAAAGGCAUGAAGCAGAUUUGGGAUUGGAGCACUGUGUUUCCAGCUUUGACAUCAGUUUUCUGUUUUACUUCAGUGCAACUAUUUUAGUAAUUUUUUUUUUUAUUAAUUCCUGUCCUUCACCUCCUGGGGAGUUUACUUACUGGAUGCACUUCCUGGCCUUGUGUUUGACGCAGCAAAAGAAGAUGUGGCACUGCGGACGAGCAUACCGAGGAAGCUGCUUCUGCAGGUGGAUGUAGCUGACUCAAGGGGAAAGCUGAGCAACCUUGGAUACUGAGCUCUAAUUGCCUUGGCAGAGAUCAUUUUCUGCACGAAAACAU